rnacentral:rRNA from 1 species
AUGAGACCGAUAGUAAACAAGUACCGUGAGGGAAAGUUGAAAAGAACUCUGAAUAGAGAGUUAAAAAGUACGUGAAACUGCUUAGAGGUUAAGCCCGAUGAACCUGAAUAUCCAUUAUGGAAAAUUCAUCGUUACGAUUGCUAUAUGAAUAAUAUAGUGAGAAUGGCGUGCAUUUUUUCCAUAUAAGGACAUUGUAAUCUAUUAACAUACACAAUUUAUCAUAAGAUCGAUGGCGAAAGUUUAUUCAAAUUAGUAUGCUUGCGUAUUAACAUAGAAUAAGUGCUGUCGAUUGGAUAAAGUGUUGAUAGAUCUAUUAUAUAUAGCGCUUGAAUACUUGUAUUCUAUAAUGGCACAUUAAUCUUGAUUUUUGUGUUUAUUAUAUGCGCUUAUAUGAUUUACAAUGCGAAAGAUUCAGG